UACAGAGGAGCCAAGCGUUGUCCGGAUUGACUGGGCGUAAAGCGCACGCAGGCGGAUGCGCGCGUGGGGUGUGAAAUCUGGCCGCUUAACGGCCAGGCGCCAUCCCAUACGGCGUGUCUGGAGGGCUGCAGAGGUCGAUGGAAUUGCCGGUGUAGUGGUGAAAUGCGUAGAGAUCGGCAGGAACACCCAGGGGGAAACCAGUCGGCUGGGCAGCACCUGACGCUGAGGUGCGAGAGCGUGGGGAGCGAACCGG
rnacentral:rRNA from 1 species